rnacentral:lncRNA from 1 species
UUCUUUCUUUCUUCUUCAAUUCAAGAAACGAAUGAAACAAAAAACGCACACAUUGUGGAGUGCGAGCGACACAUCCAUUCUUUGUUCUUCAAUAAUCGAAUGAAACAAAAACCUCUAUGUGAGGAUGUUCGGUGGUUCGCUCAAUCAUCUUUAUUAUUUGCAACAUCAACAAACAACAUUCAAUUUUCUGCUUGAAAAAAGGUACAACUUUACCCAUUUUUUUCUCAUUCUUUAUCAUUCAAGAAAAUUCAAUCUUCUGCUUGAGAAAAAGAAAAGAACUUUAAUUGUGCAAAAUGUGUUCUGUUCUGUCCCAAAAAAACCUUAAAAGACAGUUUUUUUUUUGAUUGUCACGAUAAAGGAGUUUCGUUUCACUCGUGUUUGGAAUUUUCAUUCUAACAUAUUUGCCCCUUUCACUCGUGUUUGGAAUUUUCAUUAUAACAUAUUUUCCCUAUUUGGUUUAUAAUCCAUACUUGUUAGGAACAAUGGUGGGUUUCAUGUAACCCUAAAUUUUCAUUUUGUGAAGGAAUCUGUUUUCAUUAUCUGAAAAAGGGGUGGAGUAUAUUGCCCUAGUAACCCUAAAUUUGACCGUCGGAAUCAAUGAAUAUAUAUACUUUGUUAUUUAAAUUUUGUAACAGAUGGAUCAUAGAUGCCCCAAUGACCCUAGUCCCUGAAUGUGAAAUCUAGUUGUUGCCUAUUUGAAAAUCUAUAUGUACUUUGUUAUAUAAAUUUUGUAACAGAUGGAUCAUCAAUGACCGUAGUCCCUGAAUGUGAAAUCUAGUUGUUGCCUAUUUGACCAUUGGAAUUGAUGAAUAUAUAUACUUUGUUAUAUAAAUUUUGUAACGGAUGGAUCAUAGAUGCCUUAAUGACCCAGUCCCUGUAUGUGAAAUCUCGUUGUUGCCUUAAUUGCUACUCAAGCAAUUGUCACUAUCGGUGUCCGCUUUUCUAUUAAAAAAAAUUAUGAAUUUAUAUUCAUAAUGCAUGAAUGGGUAUAUAUUCAGCUUUGAAGACCCUUAGUCCCUAAAAUUUGAUUCUGCAACUACAAUUAGAAGUGAUUGCAUUAUGAACAACAUUCAAUCUUGUGCUUCAUAAAAACAAAACAAAAGAACCUUAAUUGAGCAAAGGUGUUCUUUUUGUCCCAUGACCCUUUUGUUUGUUUGGCACCAAUUUUUGAAAGAUUAACUUUUUCGUUUGGUCAGGUAAAUUUUGGAACAUUCAUUUCAAUAUAUUUGCAUUCAUGAAUCAUAUAUGUUGAGAUACCCAUUUUUUCAUUUUUUCAAGAACAUUCAAUCUUUUGCUUGAAAAAGAGGUAUAACUUUACCCAUUUUUCUGGUUCGUGAUCAUUGAAGAAAAUUCAAUCUUCUGAUGAGAAAAAUAAAAAGAACUUAAUUGUUCAAAAAGUGUUAUGAUGCGAAAGCUAUAGUUGUUGCCUUAAUUUCUACUCAAGCAAUUUUCUCUAUCGGUGUGCGCUUUUCUAUUAAAAAAAUUAUGAUGAAUUUUGCAUGAAUGGGUAUAUAGUCUGCUUUUCUUUGGAGUAUAAACUAUUUCUUAUAAUAUCUAUCUGUUAUGUAUGACAUUAUGCAGACAACCAAUGAGAUAUAAGGAUGCUUGCAAUGUGAUCAAUGGAGGAAACCAUAAUGAGGUUGUAUCUGAUAACAUUCGGUGGGUGUUGGCAUAAUUAAGCAUCAGUCAGAUAGCACUAGAUUUGUGUUGAUAUUUAAUAAUGUAAGUCUUGAAUUUACUAACUGAAAAAAGGUAGAACCUUACCCAUUUUUAUUAUUCUUGAUCAUUCAAUAAGAUUCAAUCUUCUGCUUAAUAAAUACCAAACCUUUUGUUGCUUGAGCAUAGCAGUGUUCAUCAUGCUAAUGAGGUGGUUAACUCCCAAUGUUCGACCGGGAUUUGGAAACCAAAAUCUCAUGGAACUGUUCUUGGAGGGAAGGCUGAUUCAGAUGUGGCUUCAUGCAACCUUUUGAAAAUGAAAAGUCAGAUCAAGAGGUAUAUGAUUCUUAUCUCAGUUUCUUAUGUUUUGAUUUCAUGAGUGGAUGUAUCAAUUUUCCUAUUUUAUAUAUUUUUUUCUUCAUAAUAAUUGUUUGAGUUUCAAUUUAUUAGAUAAAUCAAACACAAUUUUUUCAAGAACAUUCAAAAGAAACUCAUAUAUGCUCUCUGCUGAAAGAUAAACUUUGUUUGCUAUGGAAAUGUUUUAUUUUCAUUCCACAUAUUUCCAUUGAUGCAUGCUCAGAUACCCAUAUUCUAAUUCUUGAUAACUCAACAACAUUCAAUCUUCUACUUGAUUGAAACAAAAUAACCUUACUAAUUGGGCAAAAGGUGUUUUGUUCUAAGACCCUGUUUAGUACCAAUAUUUUGAAAGAUGAAACUUAAUGACAAACAAUUUAAACAAGGCAUGAUAUACUUUGUCUUGGUAGCCCAAAAAUGUUGGAUGAUGCCUUAAUGUGAAAGCUAGUUGUUGCCUAAAAUGCAAUUUUAACAUAAGGCAUGGAUAUUAUCUAUUAUGCUUUGUGGACCCUAGUCCCUAAAUGCAAUUUUGCAACUACAAUAUGAAGUAAUUUUGCAAAUGUAAAAGGAAGUGCGCCCUUGUGUUUGAUUAGCGUACUAAUAAGGGUUUCAUAGGAAUUGUCUAAUGAAGAAACGAAUCAACUGAAGCAAAGUAGAAAGUAACCAACUCUUUGGAGUCUAAACUAUUUCUUAUAAUAUCUAUCUAGUAUAUAUGGAAUUUUGCAGAGAAAGUAUGCCAUAUAAGGAUGAUUGCAUUGUGAUCAAUGAGGGAAACCAUAACGAGGUUGUAUUUGUUAGUCAUUUUUUCUGCAGACCUAUUGUGAAAUCUGAUAAAAUUUGGUGGAUGUUGGUAUAAAAAUCAUAUAUCACUAGCUAUGUGUUGAUAAUUAUAAAUGUAAGUCUUGGAUUUAGUAACUUAAAAAAGACAGAACCUUACCCAUUUUUAUCAUUCCUGAUCAUUUAAUAAGAUUCAAUCUUCUGCUUGAUAAAUACAAAAUGUUUUAUUGCUGAAAAUAGUGGUAUCCAGGUCCAGCAUGCUAAUAAGGUGGCAAGUUCCCGAAGGUUCAACGGCGAAACUGAAAUCUCAUGGAUCUGUUAGUGGAGGACUGUAACUGAAGUUUAAAGCAUGCUGGUGUAGGGAUUGUUGAUGGUUCAGGUAUUGGUGUUGAUGUGGCUUCAUCCACGAAUCAGAACAACUUUGAAAUUGAAAAGUCAGCUCAAGAGGUAUAUGAUUCCAGUCUCAUUUUUUUUAUGUUUUGAUUUCAUAAGUGAUGGUUAUAUUAUUGAAUUUUUUCUUCAUAAUAAUUGUUCGAGUCUCAGACUUAUGGGAUAUUAGACAAUCAAACACAAUUAUUGCAAGAACAUUCAAAAGAAAUUGAUAUAUGUCCCAAGAACUUUCAAUCUUCUGCUUAUUGGAAAUUUCACUCCAAAAUAUUUGCCCCGUUUGGUUUAUAAUCAACACCUAUUGGGAACGAUGAUGGGUUGUUACUUUUUUCAUUCUUGAGUAUCCAGGAACUUUCAAUCUUCUGCUUCGGAAAAAAAUGAACCUUCAAUUUUUGUGAGAUUAUAUGUGUUGAUGCCCAAAAAUAUUGGAUGAACUUAAUGUCCAUAGUCCUUGAAUGUGAAAACUAGUUGUUGUCUUAAUUGCCACUCAAGAUGUUAUCUCUGUC